UCGGGUUGUAAAGCACUUUCAGCGAGGAAGAACGCCUGGCGGUUAAUACCCGCCAGGAAAGACAUCACUCGCAGAAGAAGCACCGGCUAACUCCGUGCCAGCAGCCGCGGUAAUACGGAGGGUGCGAGCGUUAAUCGGAAUUACUGGGCGUAAAGCGCGCGUAGGCGGCCUGAUAAGCCGGUUGUGAAAGCCCCGGGCUCAACCUGGGAACGGCAUCCGGAACUGUCAGGCUAGAGUGCAGGAGAGGAAGGUAGAAUUCCCGGUGUAGCGGUGAAAUGCGUAGAGAUCGGGAGGAAUACCAGUGGCGAAGGCGGCCUUCUGGACUGACACUGACGCUGAGGUGCGAAAGCGUGGGUAGCAAACAGGAUUAGAUACCCUGGUAGUCCACGCCGUAAACGAUGUCGACCAGCCGUUGGGCGCCUUGAGCGCUUUGUGGCGAAGUUAACGCGAUAAGUCGACCGCCUGGGGAGUACGGCCGCAAGGUUAAAACUCAAAAGAAUUGACGGACAUU
rnacentral:rRNA from 1 species